UGCCAGCCGCCGCGGUAAUACGGAGGGUCCAAGCGUUAUCCGGAUUUAUUGGGUUUAAAGGGUGCGCAGGCGGAACUUUAAGUCAGUGGUGAAAUCUUGCCGCUUAACUGUAGAACUGCCUUUGAUACUGCAAAUCUUGAGUUCGGAAGGGAGAGGCGGAAUUCCAGGUGUAGUGGUGAAAUACGUAGAUAUCUGGAAGAACACCAGAGGCGAAGGCGGUCUCUUGGUCCGAAACUGACGCUGAGGCGCGAAAGCGUGGGGAGCAAACAGGAUUAGAUA
rnacentral:rRNA from 1 species